CUGUGGCUUCUACGACCUAAUCCUAACUCUUGCGAGUCCGCAGGCGUUAGGAUUAGGUCGUGGAAGCCACAGGA
ensembl:miRNA